rnacentral:rRNA from 1 species
GACGAACGCUGGCGGCAUGCCUAACACAUGCAAGUCGAACGAAGCCUUCGGGCUUAGUGGCGCACGGGUGCGUAACGCGUGGGAAUCUGCCCUUGGGUUCGGAAUAACAGUUAGAAAUGACUGCUAAUACCGGAUGAUGACGUAAGUCCAAAGAUUUAUCGCCCAGGGAUGAGCCCGCGUAGGAUUAGCUUGUUGGUGAGGCAAAGGCUCACCAAGGCGACGAUCCUUAGCUGGUCUGAGAGGAUGAUCAGCCACACUGGGACUGAGACACGGCCCAGACUCCUACGGGAGGCAGCAGUGGGGAAUAUUGGACAAUGGGCGAAAGCCUGAUCCAGCAAUGCCGCGUGAGUGAUGAAGGCCAUAGGGUUGUAAAGCUCUUUUACCCGGGAUGAUAAUGACAGUACCGGGAGAAUAAGCUCCGGCUAACUCCGUGCCAGCCGCCGCCGUAA